CCAGCUCCAUCAGAGGCUCCUAAUCAGGCUUGUGCUCCAGACCCUUCUAGUAGUCAAGAGACAGAUGCAAUAACUUCAGGAACAACAACAUGACAGGAACAAGUAAGGAAAAAAGUACCUUUUAAGUAAGCAAAAAGAAGAAAAAGAACACUACGGAAAAAUGGUCUUGUCUGCAAUAAAACAUCCAGAUGAUGAGCACUGCUGAGGAGAGACUUCUAAUCCCCAACAUCUCUUAACACAAUAGACCUCAACCCCAGCUGAAGACUAGAUGCAAGACCGCCAAAAGUAAAUACUGUGGAUAUUUGUAGGGACUCAUAAAGCUCCUCUCAUGUUUCAGUUUUCAGUCUUCUCAUGUUUCACGUUUUCAGACCACUCAUUGUGACCUACAGUCAGCAGAGAGCACAGACCUUUGCAAUGCAAGACUUUGAUCUACAUCCUGCUGCACACGUUGGGUUGAGCAGAAACAACUUGUUUCCCAAGGCAGAGUGGAAGCAUGGGAAGACACUCAAGAAAAUAUUCUUGGGAAUACACUCGAGAAAAUAUUCUUGUGAGAGUGAAUAUGCUUGAAGCAUUUUGCCCUGGAAUCUGAAGAGUGUUUCUCUUGUGAAUAGGGAAGGGGAGCCCAGGCCUCACUGAGGACAGGUCAUUUAAUGUAAGGGCAGCUCUUUCCAAUGACAGUCAUAGAAUGGAAUCACAGCACAGUUUGAGUUGGAAGGAACCUUAAAGCACAUCUUCUUUCAGCCCCAAACCCUCUCUGCGCUGUCCUAAGGAAAGCAGCAGCUCCAUGUCCAGGAGUAUGUGGCUUUGGGGGUCGUUGCCAGUGCACUCAUGGACCAGCCUGACGCUCACCUUACAGGCUCGAUGCCCUCAGACCUGUCUCCUCACAGGACACUCCUAACAAAAGCCUCUGUCAGCAGAACAGUUCCUCCUAAACUUCCUGAUGGCUGAGAUCUGAAAAACAAGCGGGUGGACACCGAGGAUUUCCCCCUGAGGUCACUGAGAGCUCUAUAAAGGGCACUUGCAAGCUGAGUCCUUGUCCUGGGGCUUGCCUGGAUGAAAACGCUGUGCUGGGUUAGUGGUCAUACACCACAAAGUGGAUUCAUGCAUAAAACUGCCCUUUACCCUUCCUCCCUCUGGCUCCCAGCUCAUACCAGGCUGCACAAGCAACUCUCCAGAUCCCUACAAACUAUCUCUAUCACCACACACACCACAAAACUUCUCUAUGGAAUUAGUGCUGGGUUGAUCAAAAUAAAUCCUUAUUUAUCUGCUGCACACAACCGAGGGAUGGAGUGAUGAAGUGCAUUCUCUCACAUGCACUGACAGUCAAGUACCACAGUAAACAAAAAAUCCCAGGAAUGGACUCAUUUUCACAUACAUUUUGGAAACCAUGGGCUGCAUUCUGCCCAGUGCAGAAGGGAGCGGGAAAGGGAAUUGUCUCGAGGAAAAUAACCCUUGCAUUACUGUAUAAUCAACAAAAUUCCGUGACAUUAGUGCCUCAGCACUUCUUCCUCACACAACGUGUCACCUCAGCGGUUGACCACAGCUCCAUGAAGAGCUCCAGGCUGCAGACUGUGGAAAAGCCACAGUCAGAACAGCCUUGUACAAAUUCAGCAUAAACUUUCCUCCACAGAGAAGCGCUGUGAUCCAGCCUGCAUGUGUUUUCACUCAUAGGACACCUUCUCCCCAUCACAGGUCAAACUGCUUUAGGGAAGUGUCUGCUAUUAGCAUGUGCCUUUUGUUCCUCAGUAAAAAAAACCUGUUGUCGUUGUAUAAAUGAAAUAUCACCCAUCUUGGAAAAAAGGAAACGAAUCAAACUAAAAUAAAUGAAGUUUCUAGAUCACAGCAACCUACAGCUAUUGCACAACCCUGGUCUUUGCCAGCAUCACACUGUUAUGUGGCCUACCUAGAACCAAUGUGUGCCAGCAACAAAACUGUUUCCCAAAGCUGAAGGUCAGAAACCCAAAAACCAGCAAUGCUUCACUGCGCGAUUCCUUGAGGCCCCACAGGCCAAGGUCUCAUGGUUCAAUAGAACACAUCACACACAUGGAUGAGACCCCACAGACCAACACAGCCAACUCCUGAGGAAGACCAGUCUGGGUGAGCCCUGGCAGCCACCAGCCCACCACGGCCACAGGCAGCACUGGGAAUUUGAUUUCACUCCAGCCUUUCUUUGCUGUCCCAAGGAUUCAAAGACAAAAGGCAUCUCUACCAGGAAUGCCACUCCACCAGUGGCCGAGCAGACAGGGCACCUUCCUGGAAGAGACCUCCAGGAGAAGGGACACCAAAAGCUGUGCUAAACCCAAGACCUGAGGAGCAACAGCCAGGUUCAGCUGUGCUGGCUCAUUUCCCCCGUAAUGCAGCACUGUAACACACACCAGUGUGUUACUGCUUGGUGAAACACAUCCCUUUUGCCCUCUGAAAUUCUAGGAAUUAACUUUCAAAAAGAAGCGCAAACAUAUCAAGAAAUCAGCCAUUAUGUAAAACCUCUAAAAACUGACUGCAGCCUCACCACGACCCUGUCGUUCCAUUUCUCUUUCCAACAGGAAGGUUACUGCAAAUACUCCUACAGUAACACCGGCUGUUCCACAGCCUACCAAACUACCUGUAUCACUGGCUUGCUACAAACUCCCACCUGCAAUCAAUAGACCCCUCAGAAAUUUUUAAUUUUGUAACUUGUCCUCCAAAAGCCGCAGCACUCGGAGCAGCUCCGCUCCCUCGCGCUGCAGGAUGGGGACAGCAGGGAUGUCACACACCCUGGGGACGGGUGUGCUGAUUACACUUGGGAUACAGUUAGUUUUCUUCACAGUCACUAGUACAGGGCUACUUUCUGUUCUCUCUUCUCUGAAAGCUUGUUUCCUUUGAAAGUCACAGGGAUCCCACCUUCAGCUGCUGUCCACUGGUCCAGCUGCACUGCAGUUGGCUGUACCAAUCCUCAUUCAUUAAACCUGGAUCCCUAUAUUUUCCCUUCCCUGCUGUGUACACAGACCCUUCCAGGACCUUCCCCUGGCUGCAGAGGGUGUGGCAGUGUCCGUCCUCAGCAGGGAGAUGCUCCUGGCAGCACCUCAGAGGCUGCCAUAACCCAACCCCCAGGUGCCUACAGACAGCACCCUCACCAAAUUUCCAUCACCAAAUCCUGAAUAUGCCUGUUUCCAGAAUUCAAGCUCUGGAUGUGCAAGAGGAAGGCAGAGGAAGGAGAAGGACCUGCCCAAGGGGAUAAAAGUGUCUGUAGGUACUCCCUGGGCACAUCUAAAAAUGUCCAAGUAAUCUUGCUGUAUGAAGAACUGCCGUGCUGGUCUGUGAUCUCACACCCCACAAUUUCAGCAGUGUAAAGCUGCACCUCAGGCUGAUCUUUCUCACUCUUGUUUUCUUUUGAGGGAUAAUUUCCAGUUUCUGUGGAUAGAUCCAGAGUGAACCUCCAGACCCCAUGACAUUUGAAUCAAGAACUGGAGAAGAAACAGAGCUUUCUCCACUGCUAAAGGAGCUCGGGUGCUUUUCUUGUGCACAGGUAACAAAAUGGGUUUGGAUUUCAAGGUGGAUAGGCACAUCUGCACUGACAUUGGCAAAGGUGGGUUUGCAAAUAAUCAAGCUCUGAGGAGGGGAAAUGUGUUUCAAUCACUGGUUUUCAUCUUAUUGAAAUCAAAUGAUGCCUUUGCCGUCCUGUACCCGAGUCUGAGGGCUCACUUAUACCGAGCAAUGGGAGUGAUUUCACUGUACACAACCCUCUGGGUUAAACAUCUCCAUGGGAGGUCCCACAAGUCCAAGUUUUAGUGUUUCAGUUACUGAGGCUGCAUAAACACUUUAAACCAAACCAGCUGAGCGCUGUCAGAGCUGCUCUGCCCAGGCAACAUCAGUGACUUCGUACAGCAAUAACCACUUGUACAUGUGUGUAUUUAUACACAUAAAUACAACUCUGACUACUGCA